GACAGAGGUCCCAAGCGUUAGGCGGAAUCACUGGGCUUAAAGCGUGUGUAGGCGGGCGGGCAAGUACCUUGUGAAAUCCCACGGCUCAACCGUGGAACUGCUGGGUAUACUGCCUGUCUUGAGCCAGCCAGGGGCAGUCGGAACAGACGGUGGAGCGGUGAAAUGCGUAGAUAUCGUCUGGAACGCCAAAGGUGAAAACAGACUGCUGGGGCUGUGCUGACGCUGAGACACGAAAGCCAGGGGAGCGAACGGG
rnacentral:rRNA from 1 species